rnacentral:rRNA from 1 species
AUUGAACGCUGGCGGCAGGCCUAACACAUGCAAGUCGAACGGGUGGCGGACGGGUGAGCAAUGUAUGGGAAAGUGACUGAUGGAGGGGGAUAACUACCGGAAACUGUAGCCACAAACGCAUUCCAUCGGAUGGGCCGAGAUGGGAUUAGCGAGUAGGUGGGGUAAAGGCUCACCAAGGCGCCGAUCCCUAGCUGGUCUGAGAGGAUGACCAGCCACACUGGAACUGAGACACGGUCCAGACUCCUACGGGAGGCAGCAGUGGGGAAUAUUGGACAAUGGGCGCAAGCCUGAGGCAGCCAUGCCGCGUGUGUGAAGAAGGUCUUCGGAUUGUAAAGUACUUUCAGCGGGGAGGCGUUACCCGCAGAAGAAGCACCGGCUAACUCCGUGCCAGCAGCCGCGGUAAUAC